GUACUUUAAGCCCCGCAGCGAGUGCUGAUUUAGCUCUAAUGGAAAGUGCCGAAGCCAUUGUU
rnacentral:sRNA from 1 species